AAAAAAUGAAAAAAAUGAUGAACAAGGCAUGUGAAACAUAUGAAGCUUAAUGAAGAAAAUGCAAAAAUCCAAAAAUGCAAAUGCUGGCGCCUGGACUCGAGCUUCGUCCAAAUUCAAACAGGGCGCCACUUAAGUGAAACGCCGCGUUUCACUUAAGUGCGUGGCGUGAUCUGAUUGGUGCAUGGCUCACAAACAAAGAAAAUCAUGCAAACA
rnacentral:lncRNA from 1 species